AUGUGCCCGCUGAGGGUGAUACUCAUUUUCCUCUCCGCCACCAUCGCCGGCUUCUUCCUCCUCCGGGGCCUCAACGCCGAGCCGGACCUGUUCCAGGACGACGACGCCGCUGCCGUCGCGGCGAACGACGACGACGACGAGGGGUCGCCGGGGUCUCCCAGGGACCCCGCGCCGCUCCAUUCCAAGGUUGCAUCUGCCGCGAAGACAGGAUUCUGGACGAUGGUGGACAUGGCAAGCGGGCGGUACCUUUGGAGGACCCUUGUUGCACCACCGGCAAAAUCUGACUCCGAGAAGGCCCGGUGA
rnacentral:rRNA from 1 species